UACGUAGGGGGCAAGCGUUAUCCGGAAUUACUGGGUGUAAAGGGUGAGUAGGCGGCAUGGUAAGCCAGAUGUGAAAGCCUUGGGCUUAACCCGAGGAUUACAUUUGGAACUAUCAAGCUAGAGUACAGGAGAGGAAAGCGGAAUUCCUAGUGUAGCGGUGAAAUGCGUAGAUAUUAGGAAGAACACCAGUGGCGAAGGCGGCUUUCUGGACUGAAACUGACGCUGAGGCACGAAAGCGUGGGGAGCGAACAGG
rnacentral:rRNA from 1 species